UGCUGCAUGUAGUCUCACAGGACUCUCAGGUCACUGGUCUGCUGCAUGUAGUCUCACAGGACUCUCAGGUCACUGGUCUGCUGCAUGUAGUCUCACAGGACUCUCAGGUCACUGGUCUGCUGCAUGUAGUCUCACAGGACUCUCAGGUCACUGGUCUGCUGCAUGUAGUCUCACAGGACUCUCAGGUCACUGGUCUGCUGCAUGUAGUCUCACAGGACUCUCAGGUCGCUGGGCUGGUAGGUAGUAGCAGGAGGGCUUUUCUGCUGCACUGCUGUCUCUGGACUGUUUCUGACUGAAGAUCUUCUCUUCUGCUGUGAGCCGUUCUCUCCUUUUGUGUCCUCUCCACCUGUGCUGCAUCCUGCUAAUUGCAGGCUCUCCGCCACACCUGCCGCUCCUCUCCUAAUCAGUCUUUGAUUGGGGGUGUGGCUGUCCAUGGGUCUCAUUCCAGUUCAUGACUU